AAUUUUUAUCUGCUUUGUGGCCAGUUUUCUCCUGCUUGCUCUGCAGUGCAGCCUUGGCUCUCAGCAGAGCCCCAUCCUUGUUACAAGACUUGCAGCUGCCACACAACAGAGCUGUCUGGGAGUCCUUGAUGGGCGGGUGGUCUGCAGAGCCCAGGGUCAGGUGGCUCUGAGCAGUGAGAGGAGCUGGGUCGGACCAGGCCAGCUUGCUUGCUCCUCUAGCCUCCUUACCACCCUCUUGUCCCAGAAUGCCUCGUUGUUUUUUUUCUGGCUUCGUUCUAAGAGAGAGGAGUGUGAAACCCCAGCACAGGUGCAUUUACCAGUAGGGUGGAGCAGAAACGGGCCCCAUGUUCACCCGCUGCCCAGGGGUCUGCAGCUCACCCAUGUCAAGUCUGGGUCUCACCAGCUGGUGGCAUUCAGGUCUCUGUUGAGUGGCUGUGGCUGGCGAGUGUGGCUGACCGGUUCUGACCUGGUGCCGCCUCUGCAGUGACCUUGGCUGGGUUCUCUGCAGGGGGUGCCCCUCCCCUUCUUCUGUCAGCUCAUGUCUUUGCAGUGAGGCCUCAGGAUGUACUCAGGGGUCUUUCUGGAGGACAACCCUAAUCCUGAGGCCCUUCAAGUUCAGGGUGCAACACAGCUGUGGGCUCCUCAUACUGACUUCUGCUCCCUCUCUCUUUGAAGGAAUUCUGCCACCUUCAAGUCGCUUGAAGACCGAGUUGGGACCAUAAAGUCUAAGGUGGUGGGUGGCAGAGAGAAUGGCAAUGACAGCUUUCCCUCCCCGACUGAGAGUGGCGACAAGCCCCUGCCCGAUCACGUGCCCUUCUAAGCCUGAAGCAGCUUUGCCGGGCAGGGAGCCAGUGCAGGUACGCCCUCCUCGCCACGACAGCCACUGCGCAAGGGAGCACCAGCAGCUGCAGGAGGACGUGGAGCGGCUUUGAGGACAGUCAUGCCAUCACAUGUAGACGUGGCCCCUGCACACGCAUGACUUAGAGAACAGCCUUGUGUACAGAUGCUUCACACUAAAGUCGUAGCUGCAGCCAUCA